UGUGAAUCUAACACUAUUCCUAGAAAUUAGCAUCCAUGGAUGAAUUUAUUUAAGUUCAUUUAAGUAAAAGACUAUGUCUAGCUCUUUCUAAAUCAAAAUAUCAAUUUCGGAAUUUUACGUCGGAAAAGCAUUAAGCACAUAAUUAAAUCAUCAACAUAACGAAAUAAAGAUUAUAUAUAACCAGACAGAUUAAAAAUUUACAAGAGAAUUAUAACUAGCUAAACCCAGUGGCGUCUCCGAGUUUUUGGAGGCUCUGUGCGAAAUAUGAAAGUGAGCCUUUAAUU
rnacentral:lncRNA from 1 species